rnacentral:rRNA from 1 species
GACGAACGCUGGCGGCGCGCCUCAUACAUGCAAGUCGAACGAAAAACUCGGAGCUUGCUCCGGGUGGACAGUGGCGAACGGGUGAGUAACACGUGAGAAACCUGCCCCGAAGACCGGGACAACACCGGGAAACCGGUGCUAAUACCGGAUGUCCUUACCGGACCGCAUGAUCUGGUAAGGAAAUGGAUUCCGCUUCGGGAUGGUCUCGCGGCCUAUCAGCUUGUUGGCGGGGUAAUGGCCCACCAAGGCUACGACGGGUAGCUGGUCUGAGAGGAUGUCCAGCCACACUGGGACUGAGACACGGCCCAGACUCCUACGGGAGGCAGCAGUAGGGAAUCUUGCACAAUGGACGAAAGUCUGAUGCAGCGACGCCGCGUGUGGGAUGAAGUAUUUCGGUAUGUAAACUCGAAAGAUAGGAAGAAUCAAUGACGGUACUAUUUAUAAGGUCC